rfam:Desulfotomaculum australicum DSM 11792 genome assembly, contig: EJ60DRAFT_scaffold00073.73
UGGGGCGUAGCCAAGCGGUAAGGCAGCGGGCUUUGGACCCGCCAUUCGUUGGUUCGAAUCCAGCCGCCCCAG